AGACGGAGGGGGCUAGCGUUGUUCGGAAUCACUGGGCGUAAAGCGCGCGUAGGCGGCAAUGUAAGUCAUCUGUGAAAACUCGGGGCUCAACUCCGAGACUGCAGGUGAGACUGCAUAGCUAGAGCUCGGUGGAGGCAAGUGGAAUUCCCGGUGUAGCGGUGGAAUGCGUAGAUAUCGGGAAGAACACCAGUGGCGAAGGCGGCUUGCUGGGCCGAUGCUGACGCUGAGGCGCGAAAGCGUGGGGAGCAAACAGGAUUAGAAACCCUGGUAGUCC
rnacentral:rRNA from 1 species